UUGGCUUAUUUAAUCAUAGACUUAGACAUAAACAUGUUUAGUUUAGAGUUUAAUGAGUUGGGCCAUCGACGGGCGCAGGCCAGAGGACGUCUCUCGACAAAUCCUCCGGCGGUCGUUUACGACGGGCCCGCCGAAGCAACAAAAAGUUUGAUAGACAUAGGGUUGGGAGGUCGGGCCUGGAAGACCCUAACUCGUUAAUGAUCCUUCCGCAGGUUCACCUAAAAAAAGGGAGUUAGCAAAGGCCAACAAAAAUGAGAUAACAAGGAUUAAAACACAGCUUACUCACCUACGGAAA
rnacentral:misc_RNA from 1 species